ensembl:ncRNA W07G9.3 ncRNA
CUAGAUUUUUUUGGCGUUGACCUAGAUUUUUUUUGGCGUUGACCUAGAUUUUUUUGUCGUUGACCUAGUUUUUUUUGGCGUUGACCUAGAUUUUUUUUGGCAUUGGCCUAGAUUUUU